rnacentral:misc_RNA from 1 species
GUGCAUUCUGGGGUCAUUUUGGCUGUUAGUGGCUUGCUUGGCGUUUGAGCCUGGUGGGCGGCUAUAGGUUAUGUGUCUUCGGGGAUGUAUACUGUAAAGGUGCAUGAGUGGUGUUUGGUGUGUUACGGGUGGUUGGCUCUUUGCUUGCGCAACAACUUCCUCCCGGCAUSCCUCUUCAGUCUUGUGUCAAUGCUUGUAUGGCAUUGAAUGCAUGAUGGGUUUCUUGUGUUGCAUACCUAUUGAUGGUAUCUUUUGAUGAAUUGGUUUCCCUUUUCGUCGUGCGUCGCUCAUGCGAUGUGAGAUGAACCUUGAGGCAGCCCUUGUGAUCCACUAUUUUGAUGCAUACGCAUUGAUUUUGUGGCCCAUUGAGUGUUGCUUGGUCUCAUGGAUAUGGAACUUGGUGUGGGCAUGGAAUCUUAAUGGUUCCUUGUUUGCCCAAAUUUAGCUUUUUAAAACGAUCGUCUAUCGUGUGUUAACGUGAUAGACUAAUUCGUAUAUGAAUGCUACCUGGUUGAUCCUGCCAGUAGUCAUAUGCUUGUCUCA